CCUACGGGAGGCAGCAGUAGGGAAUCUUCCACAAUGGACGAAAGUCUGAUGGAGCAACGCCGCGUGAGUGAAGAAGGGUUUCGGCUCGUAAAGCUCUGUUGGUAGUGAAGAAAGAUAGAGGUAGUAACUGGCCUUGAUUUGACGGUAAUUACUUAGAAAGUCACGGUUAACUACGUGCCAGCAGCUGCGGUAAUACGUAGGUGGCAAGCGUUGUCCGGAUUUAUUGGGCGUAAAGGGAGUGCAGGCGGUUCAAUAAGUCUGAUGUGAAAGCCUUCGGCUCAACCGGAGAAUUGCAUCAGAAACUGUUGAACUUGAGUGCAGAAGAGGAGAGCGGAACUCCAGGUGUAGCGGUGGAAUGCGUAGAUAUAAGGAAGAACACCAGUGGCGAAGGCGGCUCUCUGGACUGCAACUGACGCUGAGGCUCGAAAGCAUGGGUAGUGAACAGGAUUAGAUACCCUAGUAGUC
rnacentral:rRNA from 1 species